ACAGCACCCCAGCCCAGUGGGUCUGUGGCCCCGCUGACCAUCCUGGGCAGGCAGAGGAUCAAAGCAAGCCACAGGCCCACCCCAGUGCCACAUGCCAGGGCACAGCAGAACACCUGGAAACAGCUGUGUGUCUGUGCCUUCAGCAGGACACAAAUAAAGCAGAAAAACCCGCUGUUGAGGCCCAAGAAGUGUCGAUAGCCUGCUAUGCAGAAGCCACAAAACUUAACAUUAAGUCAACACCAUUCCAGAAGAUGGACAAUGAAACAAUAAUAGUCUUACAUUCCAAUAAAAUUAAGAAUCAUUAAACUUCAUGUGAAU
rnacentral:lncRNA from 1 species